rnacentral:rRNA from 1 species
UAGCGGAGGGGGCUAGCGUUGUUCGGAAUUACUGGGCGUAAAGCGCACGUAGGCGGCUUUGCAAGUCAGAGGUGAAAGCCCGGGGCUCAACCCCGGAAUUGCCUUUGAGACUGCAUCGCUAGAAUUGUGGAGAGGUAAGUGGAAUUCCGAGUGUAGAGGUGAAAUUCGUAGAUAUUCGGAAGAACACCAGUGGCGAAGGCGACUUACUGGACACAUAUUGACGCUGAGGUGCGAAAGCGUGGGGAGCAAACAGG